CAGCAGCCACGGUAACACGUAGGGUGCGAGCGUUAAUCGGAAUUACUGGGCGUAAAGCGUGCGCAGGCGGUUGUGUAAGACAGGUGUGAAAUCCCCGGGCUUAACCUGGGAACUGCGCUUGUGACUGCACAGCUAGAGUAUGGCAGAGGGGGGUGGAAUUCCACGUGUAGCAGUGAAAUGCGUAGAGAUGUGGAGGAACACCGAUGGCGAAGGCAGCCCCCUGGGCCAAUACUGACGCUCAUGCACGAAAGCGUGGGGAGCAAACAGGAUUAGAUACCCGAGUAGUCCCUGUCUCUUAUAA
rnacentral:rRNA from 1 species